AACAAACGCUGGCGGCGUGCCUAAUGCAUGCAAGUCGAACGGGGUAGCAAUACCUAGUGGCGCACGGGUGAGGAACGCGUGGAUAAUCUGCCUUAGAGUGGGGGAUAACUAGUCGAAAGAUUAGCUAAUACCGCAUAAGACCACAGGAGCUGCGGCUCUAGGGGUCAAAGGUUUUUCGCUCUAAGAUGAGUCCGCGUAAGAUUAGCUAGUUGGUGAGGUAACGGCUCACCAAGGCGACGAUCUUUAACUGGUCUGAGAGGAUGAUCAGUCACACUGGAACUGAGACACGGUCCAGACUCCUACGGGAGGCAGCAGUAGGGAAUAUUGCACAAUGGAGGAAACUCUGAUGCAGCGACGCCGCGUGAGUGAUGAAGGCCUUCGGGUCGUAAAGCUCUGUCGCAGGGGAAUAACACAAUGAAUGUACCCUGUAAGAAAGGAUCGGCUAACUUCGUGCCAGCAGCCGCAGUAAAAC
rnacentral:rRNA from 1 species